rnacentral:lncRNA from 1 species
UUUUCUAAUGGCAACUUGAAAUAGUAAUUGCUGAUUGCUGCGUCAGGCCUACUCAAAACCCACUUAGUCCUUACAAGAUAAUUGCGUAUGCGGGUUUAGAAUCUUUCGAUGCAAGGUGGUAUAUAUAUAUAUAAUAUAUACACAAAUCACAAAAAUCGAAGUUCACAUCAACUUUGAUCAACCGGACUGACUUAGCUAUAAUAACAAAAAGAUUUAUUUGGAACUAAAUAAAUAUACAUUGCUAAAAGAGAGAUAAAACGGUAACAAUUCCUACUGUGACUUUGCACAGUAACCAGAAU